GGACCAAGAGAAAAGGGCGUGUUUCUGGUAUCACUGCAGCAGCAGUAUAGAACAGUACGCAGAAUCUAUUUAUUGAACAGGAAAAAAGAAAGGUGGGGAAAAAACACAAACCGGGCAAAGGAGCUGAUCACUGGUCCUCAUUUCAGCUGCAAGAGGAAGAGGAGACGGCUGGUGUGAGCGCGACCUGCCAGCGGCGCCCAUUAUAGACACCUUCACCUUCUGGAAGCUGCAGGAGGCCAACGGGAACCAACCUGCAGAAGCAGCUGUUAGUCCAUACGCCCACGUGCCCACGGCCACGCCCCCUCGCCGUUCUGAUUGGAUGGGACAGUGAGCCAUGUCUUCAUCGCAGAUUCAGCGGCUGGGCGGCCCCCUCUCCCUCGUCCCCUUCUCUCUGCUCCUGAUCUUUAUUCUCCACCCAGGCUGGGCAGUCAUUCACAUCCCAGAAGAGUAUCAAAUAAGUAACUUCAAGCAGCCGCCCGUAAUCAAGGAACAGCCAGUGUCGUACACCGCUUUCACUGUUGAUGACAUCAUUCUCACCUGUGAAGCCUCUGGAAACCCACCACCAACGUAAGUCU